rnacentral:rRNA from 1 species
UACGAGGGGUGCGAGCGUUGCUCGGAAUUAUUGGGCGUAAAGGGUAGGUAGGUGGUCUUAUUUGUCUGGGGUGAAAGCCUUGAGCUUAACUCAAGAAGUGCCCCAGAAACGGUGAGACUAGAGUCCUGGAGAGGGUCGUGGAAUUCCCGGUGUAGCGGUGAAAUGCGUAGAGAUCGGGAGGAACACCAGAGGCGAAGGCGGCGACCUGGACAGGUACUGACACUAAACUACGAAAGCGUGGGGAGCAAACAGG